UACGUAGGGUGCGAGGCGUUGUCCGGAAUCACUGGGCGUAAAGGGGCGCGAUAGGCGGCGCGGGAAGUCAUCGGUGAAAGUUCAGGGCUCAACUCUGAAUCGGCCGGUGAUACUUCUUUGCUCGAGCACUGUAGAGGCAGAUGGAAUUCCGGGUGUAGCGGUGGAAUGCGUAGAGAUCCGGAAGAACACCGGUGGCGAAGGCGGUCUGCUGGGCAGUUGCUGGACGCUGAUGCGCGACAGCGUGGGGAGCAAACAGGAGUAG
rnacentral:rRNA from 1 species